rnacentral:rRNA from 1 species
GACGAACGCUGGCGGCGCGCCUAACACAUGCAAGUCGAACGAUUAAAGCACCUUCGGGUGUGUAUCAAGUGGCGAACGGCUGAGUAACACGUGGGCAUCCCCCCCCUUUCACUGGGAUAGACCCGGGAAGCCGUGGAUCAUACCGAAUACUUCGAGUCUUCCGCCUGGAAGACGCGUGAAAGCUCCGGCGGGGUGGGAUGGGACCGCGGCCUGUUAGCUUGUUGGUGGGGGAACGGCCUACCAAGGCUAUGAUGGGUAGGCGGGUUGAGAGACCGACCAGCCAGAUUGGGACUGAGACACGGCCCAGACUCCUACGGGAGGCAGCAGUGGGGAAUCUUGCACAAUGGGCGGAAGCCUGAUGCAGCGACGCCGCGUGCGGGAUGAAGGCCUUCGGGUUGUAAACCGCUUUCAGCAGGGACGAGGCGAAAGUGACGGUACCUGCAGAAGAAGCCCCGGCUAACUACGUG